AACGCGAAGAACCUUACCUGGCCUUGACAUCCAGAGAACUUAGCAGAGAUGCUUUGGUGCCUUCGGGAACUCUGAGACAGGUGCUGCAUGGCUGUCGUCAGCUCGUGUUGUGAAAUGUUGGGUUAAGUCCCGCAACGAGCGCAACCCUUAUCCUUUGUUGCCAGCGGUUCGGCCGGGGACUCAAAGGAGACUGCCGGUGAUAAACCGGAGGAAGGUGGGGAUGACGUCAAGUCAUCAUGGCCCUUACGGCCAGGGCUACACACGUGCUACAAUGGCGCAUACAAAGAGAAGCGACCUCGCGAGAGCAAGCGGACCUCAUAAAGUGCGUCGUAGUCCGGAUUGGAGUCUGCAACUCGACUCCAUGAAGUCGGAAUCGCUAGUAAUCGUAGAUCAGAAUGCUACGGUGAAUACGUUCCC
rnacentral:rRNA from 1 species